rnacentral:rRNA from 1 species
GACGAACGCUGGCGGCGUGCUUAACACAUGCAAGUCGAACGCUGAAGCUCAGCUUUUGUUGGGUGGAUGAGUGGCGAACGGGUGAGUAACACGCGAGUAACCUGCCUCCUUCUUUGGGAUAACGCCCGGAAACGGGUGCUAAUACUGGAUAUUCACUGGUCUUCGCAUGGGGGUUGGUGGAAAGGGUUUUUCUGGUGGGGGAUGGGCUCGCGGCCUAUCAGCUUGUUGGUGGGGUGAUGGCCUACCAAGGCUUUGACGGGUAGCCGGCCUGAGAGGGUGACCGGUCACAUUGGGACUGAGAUACGGCCCAGACUCCUACGGGAGGCAGCAGUGGGGAAUAUUGCACAAUGGGCGCAAGCCUGAUGCAGCGACGCCGCGGGAGGGAUGGAGGCCUUCGGGUUGUGAACCUCUUUCGCUCAUGGUCAAGCCGCAACAAUGGUUGUGGUGAGGGUAGUGGGUAAAGAAGCGCCGGCUAACUACGUG